GACGAACGCUGGCGGCGUGCCUAAUACAUGCAAGUUGAGCGCUGAAGGUUGGUACUUGUACCAACUGGAUGAGCAGCGAACGGGUGAGUAACGCGUGGGGAAUCUGCCUUUGAGCGGGGGACAACAUUUGGAAACGAAUGCUAAUACCGCAUAAAAACUUUAAACACAAGUUUUAAGUUUGAAAGAUGCAAUUGCAUCACUCAAAGAUGAUCCCGCGUUGUAUUAGCUAGUUGGUGAGGUAAAGGCUCACCAAGGCGAUGAUACAUAGCCGACCUGAGAGGGUGAUCGGCCACAUUGGGACUGAGACACGGCCCAAACUCCUACGGGAGGCAGCAGUGGGGAAUCUUCGGCAAUGGACGAAAGUCUGACCGAGCAACGCCGCGGGAGUGAAGAAGGUUGUCGGAUCGUAAAACUCUGUUGGUAGAGAAGAACGUUGGUGAGAGUGGAAAGCUCAUCAAGUGACGGUAACUACCCAGAAAGGGACGGCUAACUACGUG
rnacentral:rRNA from 1 species